CUCUUUUUGACACAGAAAUAAUAGUUCUUUCUAAGCCUGUUUCUUAACUUGUUUGGAGCUUCCACAAUUGCUUCAAGAAGCUUACCUGAAGAGUAAGACAGGAGGAGGCUGUCCUACAACACAACCUUACCUCCCACCCCUAAAGUUUUCUCCCUUCAGCACAGGCUUCAAAUGACUGUGCUGCUGUUAACCACCCUCUUAGUGCAUAAAAUUUGUUCUUCAUCGUAACUACAAAAGCUUGUUCUUCCCAGUAAAUACCUGUGCUAUAUUUUCAGAUACCUUCUCAUCAUUAGGUGGGCAUAGGUGUCAUUAUGGAAUGUGUCUGUGUUCCUAGAGUUGAACAGGUAUUCUCUUCAGUCAAAUACGAAGAACUUUGUAUACGUUCAGUAAUGCUGACCUGCGUUAAUACUUUUUAUUUUGGUUUACAGCCUGCGCAGGAUUGGUACAUGGCUCCUCACAUUGUCCUAGAGGUACUCCAAAUUCUUUUUGACAGAUGCUUAAGGAAGACGGAUCCAGACUAGCAUGUAAUUAAUGCUGGUGAUUCCACUCUGAUCCUUUUACUCCUGUAAUGUGCAUCCAUGGCUGAGGAGGAGAUAAUGGACCAUCACAAUCCAGAAUUUACCUGAGCUAACUGGAGGUGCGUGGCCAUACGCGUACGGGCACCGAAUCGCAGCGGUGGGUUGGCUCAGCACUUUGAAAUUCAGCAUCACUGGUGCUGGCUUUGGGAACAUGCCCACUGCCAUUCUUGCAGCUCAGAGAAGUCCUGCACUGCCCAAAUGUUCACUUUGGAGGUUGUUCUGCGUUGGUCCUGUGGUACCAGCACAUUUUGUGGUUUGGACUGCCUUCCACUUGUGAUCUGCUAUAAAUCCUCAAAGGCUCUUUGAACUGAAGGCGUACAAAGAGCUCAGAUACUGAAAUAUCUGACAGAGAACAGCUUUGGUUCUGCUCUGCUCUUGCCUUGCCCCUGUUAGGCUCCAGGCUGGGUUUUGUUUCUUCCUUUUGUUUUAGGAGCUGAUCACCCUGUUUGUGCUUCACUUAAAAGAUUCUUCUUAAAUCUGUAAUGCAGUUCUGAA